rnacentral:rRNA from 1 species
AGAGUUUGAUCCUGGCUCAGGAUGAACGCUGGCGGCGUGCCUAACACAUGCAAGUCGAGCGAUUCUCUUCGGAGAAGAGCGGCGGACGGGUGAGUAACGCGUGGGUAACCUGCCCUGUACACACGGAUAACAUACCGAAAGGUAUGCUAAUACGAGAUAAUAUACUUUUAUCGCAUGGUAGAAGUAUCAAAGCUUUUGCGGUACAGGAUGGACCCGCGUCUGAUUAGCUAGUUGGUAAGGUAACGGCUUACCAAGGCGACGAUCAGUAGCCGACCUGAGAGGGUGAUCGGCCACAUUGGAACUGAGACACGGUCCAAACUCCUACGGGAGGCAGCAGUGGGGAAUAUUGCACAAUGGGCGAAAGCCUGAUGCAGCAACGCCGCGUGAGCGAUGAAGGCCUUCGGGUCGUAAAGCUCUGUCCUCAAGGAAGAUAAUGACGGUACUUGAGGAGGAAGCCCCGGCUAACUACGUG